rnacentral:rRNA from 1 species
GUCGAGAAUCUUUCACAAUGGGGGCAACCCUGAUGGAGCGACGCCGCGUGGAGGAUAAGGUCUUCGGAUUGUAAACUCCUGUCAUGCGUGAACAAGGUUGCUUGGUUAAUACCUGGGCAAAUUGAUGGUAACGCAAGAGGAAGAGACGGCUAACUCUGUGCCAGCAGCCGCGGUAAUACAGAGGUCUCAAGCGUUGUUCGGAAUCACUGGGCGUAAAGGGUGCGUAGGUGGCGUGGUAAGUCAGAUGUGAAAGCCCGGGGCUCAACCUAGGAACUGCAUCCGAUACUGCCAUGCUAGAGUACUGGAGAGGUGACUAGAAUUCUCGGUGUAGCAGUGAAAUGCGUAGAUAUCGAGAGGAAUACCAAAGGCGUAGGCAGGUCACUGGACAGUUACUGACACUGAGGCACGAAGGCCAGGGGAGCGAACGGGAUUAGAAACCCUAGUAGUCC